UACGUAGGGCGCAAGCGUUGUCCGGAAUUAUUGGGCGUAAAGAGCUCGUAGGCGGCUUGUCACGUCGGGUGUGAAAGACCGGGGCUUAACCCCGGUUCUGCAUUCGAUACGGGCUAGCUAGAGUGUGGUAGGGGAGAGUCGGAAUUCCCGGUGUAGCGGUGGAAUGCGUAGAGAGUCGGGAAGAACAUCAGUGGCGAAGGCGGUCUGCUGGGCCGUUGCUGACGCUGAGGCGCGACAGCGUGGGGAGCAAACAGG
rnacentral:rRNA from 1 species